rnacentral:snoRNA from 1 species
AUCCACAGCUACUGGUCUGCAGCUGUUCUUGUGGUAGCAGUUGUGACAUUCUUCUGUGGGAAAGAAAUGUUUAAUACAAUUAAACAACUCUUUCUUAGCAAAACAGAAGGUGACAGACAUUUAAAAAUAAAA